rnacentral:miRNA from 1 species
UGUUGAAGGAAAGAGGAGGAGGAGGAGUAAGGGAGGUGGAGGAGGAAGACUGUCUCCCUCCCUCCCUCCCUCCCUCCUUCCUUCCUAUCUUUCUUUCUCCUCCCUUCCUUUUCUUUCUUUCU